rnacentral:rRNA from 1 species
UACGGAGGGUGCGAGCGUUGUCCGGAAUCAUUGGGCGUAAAGGGCGCGUAGGCGGACCUGCAAGUCGGGGGUGAAAGCCCGAGGCUCAACCUCGGAACUGCCUUCGAUACUGCGGGUCUCGAGUCCGGGAGAGGUGAGUGGAAUUCCUAGUGUAGAGGUGAAAUUCGUAGAUAUUAGGAAGAACACCAGUGGCGAAGGCGGCUCACUGGCCCGGUACUGACGCUGAGGCGCGAAAGCGUGGGGAGCAAACAGG